UUAAUGCCUGUUAUAAAGUGUAUUCUGUCUUCUUUAUUAAUCAGAUGAGCGCCAUAUUUUUACUCUCUGUAUUACAUCGGUCAUCCGAGGCUGUCUUUGAGUUUCAUUGUGUUUAACUAAAUGAACACAGCUGCUAACUGGGGUGAUUAAACGCUUAUCUGUCACGUGACGUGCUCUAGACCUGGGAUCCGUUUUAUAAUCAUUUCAGGUUCAAAGAUGUAAGUUGUAUUUGUAGUAAAAUCAUGGUAACCAUGACACCUACAAUAGUAGGUAAAACCCAGUAAACAAGACAUUUACCAUGUUUUUUUAUUUUUAUAUUUUUUUAUUUAUUUAUGUAUUUUUAUUUUUUUACCACAGUAACUGUAGUUUUUACUAUGGUAUAGUAAUAGCACAAUAAUCACCAAAAAUGACUGUGGUUGUACCACUGUAAUGGUAGUGUUUUUAAUGUGCUUUUUAUAUGACAUAUUUCACAGUAAUCACAUUUACUGUACCAUGCUUGUAAUACCCUUUUAAUGUAAAAACAUUGAACUUGCAGUUCAAUUCAUAUUAGUUUAUAUCUUAAAUAUUUUGCCCACAGAUCACUAUUAACAUUCUGUAUAUAAUUCUGUUUAAUUUCUUUCCCCUUGUAUUUAUUUUUUAGCUGAAAAGACAUAAAGGAAGCAGUCACCCCAGUGGUGUUUGUGGAGAGGUAUUCCUUCAGAAAUGGAGAAGACAGAAAGCUGCAGAGGCAGGAUUGUUUGCACAUAACACUGUAGAUCUCCGUCAUGCACAAGGACUCACCUAUUUAACUCUUUAUCCCCCCCGCCACACACACACAGAAAUGGUUCCUGGAUCAGUGACUUAAGACUUUGCAGUGAUUUGAUUUCUGCAGAAGAUGUAACUUUGUUUUAAUUAAGCUUAUAAUGAAUACAUUGUGACCUUCCAGCAACCCAUAUACUG
ensembl:lncRNA